AAUUUUGAAUCGUGGUCCGGGAAUGUACAUUUAUUGUCCAUUUAAUUACUUCGUCGUGGGUUGGGAAUGUGUGGCAGACAUCCCUCCAAGUUGUCUUUAAUGGAUGUGUAUUUACGAAGCUUAAAGGAGGUGAGUCAGUCGAGAACGGGAAGAGGUGAGCUUUACGGUAGUGCCCCCUAGGUAAUGCAGUUUAUUUAGGGCCAUUAUGAAUCGCCCGCAUAAAUUGAAGCGACCAGAAAAGUGGACCGACAGCUUGUCAGACGUGCCCAUGCACCGAUUUAAGGGAAUGCCAAUAUAAGAACUUCGGGAAAAGUCACUGUACAAGUGUAAAAUGUCGAGUAGGCUGCCGGUCCAAUUCAAGCAUUGGCUGUACAUCGAGAUCAUCAGAAACGUUCCCUUUAAGGAUGUGUUAUGGUUUCGGGGGGAAACCUUUAGUCUGCUGCUUCACACAGCUGCAAGACAACCACCAUCGUCCCUGUACCAAGAAGGUCUGCAGUGUCUUCACCUCCAUUUUUAAGAUAAGAUCAACUUAUUCCCACACCAGGGAAAUUCACUUGUUACAGCCGCGCUAAAGUCAAAAGUAGAGGAAGAGUGAUAAAUAAAAACAAAGGCAAUACACUAUAUACACCUUUCACUCAUGCAGAUUUAACCACAAUGGAUAAUUGCACAUAAUACACACAUUGUAGAGAUGUUGUCCAUGAUUGAUGUCAGCUUGGCUAAUGUCCUCCUCUCACCCACUCUUUUGCACUUUCUAGGGAGCAGGACAGAGCUAGCCCCCCAUGACACUGAUUGUCAAACUUGGCACUCUGUGCUUAAGUACCACACUCUGCAAAUGGGUAUUGGACUUCCUCACAAACAGACCUCAGAUAGCUGGGAGAAGCAGUCACCUGCCCUGUCCCGUUCAUGCUGUACAACCACGACUGCAACCCAGACAUGAAGCGAACUCUUUGCGGACGACACCACCUUCAUUGGCCAGAUUUCAAACAACGCUGAGACUUCAUGUUGGGAGGAAAUUGACAAUCUUGCAGAGUGUCGCACAGAGAACAUCAUCAUGCUCAACAUCAGCAAAACCAGGGAGCUGAUUGGUGAUUUUAUAAAAGUGGAGCUGAGUGAAGCAGCAGUGGAGCUGAGUGAAGCAGGUCAACAGUUUUAGGUUCCUGGGAAUCAGCAUCACAGUGAUGACAUGGUCAUCUCAUAUCUCCACCCUGGUAAAGAAAGCUCAGAAAUGGCUGUAUUUCUUAAGGAAACUUAAGGCUAAAUUCUUGUUAACUUUUAUCAAGAAGCAACAGAAACUGACUACAAUUAUCACAAACUUGCAUGGGAUGUGCAUGGCCCAGGACAAGAGGACUCAUUGGUAGCCAUGUAAUGAGCAUCAGUGAUAUCUGUGGGGUUAGGUGCCUGAGGAAAGCCCAAAGGACAGAGCAGCUUCUUUCCACAGGCUGUGAGACGCCUCAACUCCACCAUAAAUAAAUGACACGGAACUUUCUGUAAUAGCACAUUACCAUAUUACCUUGUAUAAUGUAUGUCUAUAACUGCAGUUUUUACUUUUAUUCUAUUCUGAAAUUUUUAUAUGUGUUCUGUGUGUGUAAUGUGAAGGGGGCUACAACUUUAAUUACAUUGUGCAGACCUGUGUAGUACAAUUACACAUAAAUGUACAAUAAACCUUGAAUACAACCCA